rnacentral:rRNA from 1 species
UACGUAGGGGGCAAGCGUUAUCCGGAAUCAUUGGGCGUAAAGCGCGUGUAGGCGUUCCGUAAGUCCGCUCUGAAAGCCCAGGGCUCAACCCUGGGAGGCGGGUGGAUACUACGGAACUGGAGUACGGAAGAGGAGAUUGGAAUUCCUGGUGUAGCGGUGAAAUGCGCAGAUAUCGGGAAGAACACCCGUGGCGAAGGCGGCUCUCUGGGACGGUACUGACGCUGAGACGCGAAAGCGUGGGGAGCGAACAGG